rnacentral:rRNA from 1 species
ACCUACGGGGGGCAGCAGUAGGGAAUUUUCGUCGAUGGGCGCAAGCCUGAACGAGCAAUGCCGCGUGAACGAGGAAGGUCUUCGGAUCGUAAAGUUCUGUUGAAGGGGAAAAAGAGCGGAGAGAGGAAAUGGUCUCCGAUUGAUAUUACCCUUCGAGGAAGUCACGGCUAACUACGUGCCAGCAGCCGCGGUAAUACGUAGGUGGCGAGCGUUAUCCGGAAUGAUUGGGCGUAAAGGGUGCGUAGGCGGCCUGCUAAGUCUGGAGUGAAAGGUACCGGCUCAACCGGUACAGGCUCUGGAAACUG